CCUACGGGUGGCAGCAGUGAGGAAUAUUGGUCAAUGGGCGCGAGCCUGAACCAGCCAAGUAGCGUGAAGGAUGACUGCCCUACGGGUUGUAAACUUCUUUUAUAAAGGAAUAAAGUGAGGCACGUGUGCCUUUUUGUAUGUACUUUAUGAAUAAGGAUCGGCUAACUCCGUGCCAGCAGCCGCGGUAAUACGGAGGGGGCAAGCGUUAUCCGGAUUUACUGGGUGUAAAGGGGGCGCAGACGGCGAUGCAAGCCAGGAGUGAAAGCCCGGGGCCCAACCCCGGGACUGCUCUUGGAACUGCGUGGCUGGAGUGCAGGAGGGGCAGGCGGAAUUCCUGGUGUAGCGGUGAAAUGCGUAGAUAUCACGCAGAACUCCGAUUGCGAAGGCAGCUUACUAAACUAUAACUGACACUGAAGCACGAAAGCGUGGGGAUCAAACAGGAUUAGAUACCCCUGUAGUC
rnacentral:rRNA from 1 species